rnacentral:rRNA from 1 species
GAUGAACGCUGGCGGCGUGCCUAAUACAUGCAAGUCGAGCGAACGGACGAGAAGCUUGCUUCUCUGAUGUUAGCGGCGGACGGGUGAGUAACACGUGGAUAACCUACCUAUAAGACUGGGAUAACUUCGGGAAACCGGAGCUAAUACCGGAUAAUAUUUUGAACCGCAUGGUUCAAAAGUGAAAGACGGUCUUGCUGUCACUUAUAGAUGGAUCCGCGCUGCAUUAGCUAGUUGGUAAGGUAACGGCUUACCAAGGCAACGAUGCAUAGCCGACCUGAGAGGGUGAUCGGCCACACUGGAACUGAGACACGGUCCAGACUCCUACGGGAGGCAGCAGUAGGGAAUCUUCCGCAAUGGGCGAAAGCCUGACGGAGCAACGCCGCGUGAGUGAUGAAGGCCUUCGGAUCGUAAAACUCUGUUAUUAGGGAAGAACAUAUGUGUAAGUAACUGUGCACAUCUUGACGGUACCUAAUCAGAAAGCCACGGCUAACUACGUGCCAGCAGCCGCGGUAAUACGUAGGUGGCAAGCGUUAUCCGGAAUUAUUGGGCGUAAAGCGCGCGUAGGCGGUUUUUUAAGUCUGAUGUGAAAGCCCACGGCUCAACCGUGGAGGGUCAUUGGAAACUGGAAAACUUGAGUGCAGAAGAGGAAAGUGGAAUUCCAUGUGUAGCGGUGAAAUGCGCAGAGAUAUGGAGGAACACCAGUGGCGAAGGCGACUUUCUGGUCUGUAACUGACGCUGAUGUGCGAAAGCGUGGGGAUCAAACAGGAUUAGAUACCCUGGUAGUCCACGCCGUAAACGAUGAGUGCUAAGUGUUAGGGGGUUUCCGCCCCUUAGUGCUGCAGCUAACGCAUUAAGCACUCCGCCUGGGGAGUACGACCGCAAGGUUGAAACUCAAAGGAAUUGACGGGGACCCGCACAAGCGGUGGAGCAUGUGGUUUAAUUCGAAGCAACGCGAAGAACCUUACCAAAUCUUGACAUCCUUUGACAACUCUAGAGAUAGAGCCUUCCCCUUCGGGGGACAAAGUGACAGGUGGUGCAUGGUUGUCGUCAGCUCGUGUCGUGAGAUGUUGGGUUAAGUCCCGCAACGAGCGCAACCCUUAAGCUUAGUUGCCAUCAUUAAGUUGGGCACUCUAAGUUGACUGCCGGUGACAAACCGGAGGAAGGUGGGGAUGACGUCAAAUCAUCAUGCCCCUUAUGAUUUGGGCUACACACGUGCUACAAUGGACAAUACAAAGGGCAGCGAAACCGCGAGGUCAAGCAAAUCCCAUAAAGUUGUUCUCAGUUCGGAUUGUAGUCUGCAACUCGACUACAUGAAGCUGGAAUCGCUAGUAAUCGUAGAUCAGCAUGCUACGGUGAAUACGUUCCCGGGUCU